CGUUCCCGGGUCUUGUACACACCGCCCGUCACACCAUGGGAGCGGGUUUCACCAGAAGUAGGUAGCUUAACCGCGAAGGGGGCGCUUACCACGGUGGGAUUCGUGACGUGGGGUG
rnacentral:rRNA from 1 species